GACACACAAUCCUUCAACUCUUUGCACUGAAUCCUCCGCGAACGCAGAGCCAACAAACGCAAAUGGAAUGUAUGCGAGAGGCGGAAUGAAUGCAUACCUCCCUCACCUGGCCAGGGAGGGGGAUCGAUGGCGCGGUGCUGAGGCAGGCGGGGCGUCGAGUCCUUUACUAACGACGGCGUGGCAGCUCCACCCCCAGCGGGAGGAAUUCCAGCGGAAUGCUGGCAAUCCCCUUCACCAACGGCGGCCUGAUGUUGAGACGAGAUGAGUUCACCGUCUUGAAGAACGCCCACUUUGCCGCCUGCGCAGGAUCUGACGGUUCGGCCUCCUGAAUCGCCUAGAAGAGGAGCUCCACAUCCAUGCAGCCGUCGUCGCCGAUGGAGCGCGCACGCUCGGCGAAGUUUGCAUAGCAAAGGAUAUCUAGGUUGAGGUCUCCCCACAUCAUGAGCAGGCUGGUCGACGACGGCACCCAGCGCGGCACGACCCAACCCGCAGCCCACCCAACACAUUUUCCAAUCCCCAUUCAUUCCCCGUCUCCCCCGAUCCCUUCGGCCGCCGGCGACCUCCUCUCCACCAGCCCCGCCGCCGGCCUCCAGAUCCAACCCAGCAGCCACCAGCUCAGGUCCAGCCCCUACCCCGCGGCCAUGGCCAUGGCAGGAGGGGCCUGAAUCCCUACCCCGUGGCGGCUAGGGUUUCGGUCGCCUCCAACUCGAUCCGGCGAAUCCCGAGCCCUCAAGCGCCGCUCCGUCUCCUGGUCCUGGAUGGCCUCAAGGACCACUUGUUCUUCGUCAACCUGCAAGGACGCGCGCCGGCAGAAGGCCAUCUCCUCUCCGGCGAGCCCACCCAUGGCGACCAGGACGGUCUCCCCCCUCCCAAAUCCAGCACGGUCGCCAUGGCAUAAAAAGGUUUGCUUUGCUUAGGACGCCAUGGGACUCCCUCCCUCUGCUUCUCUCCUCAUGCGGCUCUUCACCCCCAACCUCCGGUCCAUGGAGCCAGCUCCAGCGUCAAGGACACAACGGCAGCAGCAGCAAGCGGCUGUUGAUUGAUUGGUCACCACCAAGCUCAGGUCCAUGGAUUCCUCCUUGCUCCAGCGUCAAGGCCACAAAGCAGCAGCAGCAGGCCAGCAGCAGCAAAGAUCGAGGCCAAGGGGUUUAUCCAGGAGCUGCGCGGCGCGAGGUGAGGCUCUUCCGUUGGACCAACCCGCUGCCUGCUCGGCAUCGACUACAGGACGCCCAUGGACAGCAGGGUGACUAUGGUGGAUGGCUACUUGUGGCUCUUAGCAGCAAGUUGGUCAACCACGGUCUAGCUAGAGGUUGAUCUUCUUUGUUAUUCUUUUUUGAAAGUAGAGGUGCAGGACAGAGCCACGCCACCGUCCGGUGAUUCUUCUCCCACUCCGACGCCUCCGGUCGGUCUUCUUCCGCUCCGGCAUUGCAUCGCUGGUCUUACCCAGAAGAGUCGUCUAAGAUAAAAAAAAAGGAGCACAAGAGACUGCCGUGUGGUGUCUGCAGGGGAGAAGGUGCCCAACAUCACCAGUGAGUCUUGUCUGCCUGCACUGGCACCCACUCCGAUGCUUGCUGCCUUGCCCCUCCAGUGACCGCUUCUUCUACGACUCCGACAUUGGAUGCAACACAGCCAGGCGUAUAUGGGAAUCCCAGGAGCCUGCAUGGCGACUUGGCUCAUCUUCGGUUCACGGGGUUGGGCCGCUGGGCACCGGCGUGGGGGCUUUUGAGAUUGAGUACAACAAGUGGUGGUUGACAAGACCACAGCAGGGUGCAAAAGAAAUGGACGUGUGGUGUGAGCAGGGGAGAAGGCGCCCAACAUCACCAGUGAGUAUGUCUGCCUGCGCUGGCACUCACUCCGAAGCCUGCUGCCCUGCCUCUCUGGUGGCGCUUCUUCUCCGACUCCGGCAUUGGUCUUGAGAAGAAUCACCAUGCUAGAAUAGAUUGAACAUGGCCAUGAUAGGAUUCACAUCACUGAUAGACGCCAUUGCUGCUGGUGAUGUGUACAAGAAUCCGGGCGCCUGCAUGGUUACUUGGCUUAUCUUUAGUUCACGGGGCUGCGGCUGAUGACACAUGCGUGUUGGCUUUUGAGAUAAGAGUACAACAUCUGGGUGGAUGAGAAGACCACAAUUUGGUACGGUAUUUCUCAGCCUGCUUUAUCCAUUGAUUUUGUUUUCUCUGUGAGUAUGAAUCUGAUAUUGUCAAGAUGAUGCUCAAUGAGUCCAAGAAUCUGUUUGUGAUGAGCAUUUAAUGCAGCUAGACCGUACUGCCUAGACAAGCAUAUAGUUGACUACAAUAGCGUGUGGGCUCAUACACACCUCAGGUGCAUAUAUAUAUAUGCACAGAGUCUUUGUUUCACGCUGAAGAAGCAUCUCGCAUAAAUGCGUGUGUUUGUUAAGUUGUAUAUUUUUGUACCACUUGUAACAUUAAUUGGCACGUUGUAACGAUCUUAGAUUGUAGGAUCUGAGGGCCUGCCUGCCAUAUCUCUAGGGACUUUCUCUCCCUAUGUAUACUCAGAGAUGUAAAUGAAGGAAAUAUGCCCUAGAGGCAAUAAUAAAGUUAUUAUUUAUUUCCUUA